CGUUGCCACUUUCACCCUCGCUGUCCCCCCCCUUCCCCAGCUCAACCCUCCGCCGGGGUGGAUGCAGGGGCGGACGCCGGGGUACCCCGGCUCCCCGCGGGGCAGAGCGCCUUGGGAAGGACGCGCCGCCGGCUGCCCCGCUCGCUUCAGGAGGAGACGCCGCGCUGGGUGCUGCGCGGCAGCGGUUUGUUCUGCGCGGACGCGUCCUGCGCUCCGACGGCACGCCAGGGACGGCCGGCUUCUGCACCAGGCAUCCACAUGGGGCUGGCAAGUUCCUUGGAAAACGGCUUUUGAAAGCGCUUGGCUGUGGGUAUGGGUUUGUUUUUUUUUCCUCCUGCAAACCAGCAAGCCUGUCGCAGGAUCAGAGCUGUCUGCCGGGUUGUCAGGAUCCCCGAGGUGCCGGGAACAAGCCGUGCCUGCCAAUGGAGCGCUGGAGCUGCUGCCGGAGAAACCCCCCGAGGGAUGGGCAAGGGCCGAAUGGAGACUGACGCUGGGUACAGGAUACAAGCUCCGGGUCCUGACGGCUGAGAAGAAUAAAGUUGCCACAUUUCCCAAGAGUCCUUUUUCUGGGAGAGCUGCCUUCCAGCAGGACACCCUCUCCCUGCGGAUCAGUCCGGUUAGCACGGCAGACAGCGGGGUCUAUCGGCUAGAGGUUGAUACCACAGCAAAUUCUGUUAUUAGCAUUGCUUGCUUCCGCGUGUCAGUGUGGGGUGAGUAGUCGGGUCCCCACCACCCCACCGCCCUGUCCCCCCCGUCCCC